CAGACGCCUCAGCGGAUCACAGGCCAGAAUAAGGAAGGGGCCGGCAGUAUCCGAGGGGGCCUUGAGUGAGGCCGACACAUGUGUACAAACACACCAGCUCCUCUCGGUGGCCAAAAAGGGCGUGCGGCAAGAAUUACCAUCCCGGUGUCACAGAGGAGGAAACUGGCCUGGGAGUCACCAGGAGCUUGUCCAGUCCGCCAGAUGGUGGAGCUGAAACAUGCUCUCUCUUUGCCACGCUGUCUUGUUUUGCUGGUCUUACACCAUCUUCUCUUCCUGGAUCAUGGGAUUGGUGGGUCCGAGAGAGCGCUCCUUUUCAUAUUGUUCUGUGCGAGAGAGUGUAUGAAGACUUGCUAUCUGGUUCCAUACUGUAUCGUACAGUGUUCCUGUUUUUCUGAAAUUUGACAAAGUGAAGAAUGCCUUUUUUUUCUUUGAGGGGCAUGACUAUUCAUGUUUUCCUUCAAUUUCUGUUUUCCAAUUUAGUUCACAUCCCAAUAAUUGUUACUGAGGUGGGGCGCCUGGGUGGCUCAGUCGGUUAAGCGACGGACUUUGGUCAGGUCAUGAUCUCAUGGUUUGUGAGUUCAAGCCCUGUGUCAGGCUCUAUGCUGACAGCUCAGAGCCUGGAGCCUGCUUCAGAUUUGAUCUCCCUCUCUCUCUAUGCCCUUCCCUGCUCAUACUCUGUCUCUAUUUCUCAAGAAUAAAAUAAAAACAUUUUUAAAAAGUUAAACAGAAAUUUGGAAUGUUAUUUUUUAAAUUGAUUUAUUUAAAUUCAAGUUAGUUAACAUGCAGUAGUGUAGUGAUGGUCUCAGGAGUAGAACCAGUGAUCCGUCACUUACAUGUAACACCCAGUGCUCAUCCGACAAGGAUCCUCUUCAAUGCCAUCACCAUCUAGCCCAGCCCCCCACCUACCGCCCCUCUCGCAACCCCUCAGUUUGUUCUCUGUUUUUAAGAGUCUCUUAUGGUUUGCCUCCCUCUCUGGUGUUGUUUGUUUGUUUGUUUUUGUUUUACUUUGCAUUUUCUCCAAUUAGUAACCCAGUGGAAAAUGCUGUCUGAGGUGAUUGUUUCAUAAAUGCUGCAAACCCACCUUUAUGAAGAUCUAAGGUAAUUCACUAAUAAACCUUGGAUCUCAGCCUGGAUCUGCAUGCAUUCAAGCAUUCUUGUAAAUGGAAACUAACAGGAGCAAGUCAGUUGGAGAGAUGCCGUGUAGCCUGGUAAGUAAUCUCCCAUUUAUUUAAAAAAAACCUUUUUUUUCUAAUGUUUUAUUUAUUUUUGAGAGAGAGACACACACACACAGCAGGGAAGGGUUAGAGAGAGAGGGAGACACAGAAUCAGAAGCAGGCUCCAGGCUCUGAGCUGACAGCACAGAGCCCGACGCGGGGCUCAAACCCACGAACCGUGAGAUCAUGACCUGAGCUGAAGUCAGACGCUCAACCGACUGAGCCACCCAGGGGCUCCUCUCCCAUUUAUUUUUAUGUCCUUCAUAUAGAGGGACUGUGGACAAGCCAGGUCUCAGAAGAACUGAGGAGAACCCUCCUCACCUUCCCCAGGGGCAGCCGUGCCCAGGUGCUAUGGCUUCAGAGACACCACCCUAGUUUACCUAUGCCACAGAGUUGGAAAAAGUUGGGAUAGUGGAUGUGUAAGACCUUUGAAAACUACAAAACAUCAUGACAUAUAAGGUAGAAUCCUUGUCAUAGUACUCUUGUCAUCUUCAGAAAUAAAAUAUGAGAUGUCUGCGUUUGGAUAGUGUGCAGUAAGUUGAGGCAGGCCAGUAACUCUACUGUAACAACUAGGAAAAACUCGAGAAAUUACCAAACUGAGACCUGGAAAGGCGCCCAGGAGUUGUGGAAGACAUGAGUAGUGGGUGAACCAGAAUUACACAGAGAGAGAAAUUGUUUGCAGGGAAGCUGCAGACCCACAGGCAUUUUGAGCCCCAGCGAUGCUUGUUGAUGCCUGGCAUGGGCUGAGGGACAGACUCGGCUCAGGCAGUGGGUCCUUGUGCAGGUAAGAGAAGCCAAUGAAGCUCUAGCCAACUGGGGGCCUAGUGUGAAAAAUGAGAAACUUGGGGAGCCUCAUGGUCAGAGCUGGUUUUCUCCACAGACAUUUGCUGAGUUCAAGGGUUCAUAGGAUGCCAGGAAGUCAGGCUGAAAGUUUCCCAAGGGCAAAUGAAACCUCCCACAGGCUUAUGUUCUUAAAAAGCAGGAUGCCUCCGGGGGGUCGGGGCUGAUUCAAGCACAUGGCUGUUUCCUCCUGGCCUUAAGACUUUUGCCACAUUUCGGGGCGCCUGGGUGGCUCAGUCUGUUAAGUGUUGGACUUCAGCUCUGGUCAUGAUCUCAUGGUUUGUGAGUUCGAGCCUCACUUUUGAGUCUGUGUUGACAGAGCUCUGUCUCCCUAUCUCUGCCUGCCCCCUCAAAAAGAAAUAAACAUUAAAAAAAAAA
ensembl:lncRNA